rnacentral:rRNA from 1 species
UGGUGGAGUGAUUUGUCUGGUUAAUUCCGUUAACGAACGAGACCGCUGCCUGCUAAAUAGCUCGGUGAGUGAUUUUCACUGACUUGAGCUUCUUAGAGGGACGUGCAUUUUUUAGAUGCAGGAAGAUAGCGGCAAUAACA